CAACAGCAACCCUCAGGGCGGGCAAAACAGCCUCACAGGCUGGAUCCUGCUAUCCAAGUCUCAGUGAAAGUCCUUGCCCUCAGAGCUUGGGUUAGCUGCAGCCCAUCCCCCCGCAGGCCGAGGAAACAGCCUCACAGCCAGCGAUUCUGAAGGCAACUUCCGGAAAGCGACCCGGAGAGGGGGGGGGGGGAGUGUGGCCUUGUGGUCCGACCCUUCCAUUCCAGUUCCAGUGAGGCAUAUUCAGUUUAACCCAGGGAAAGCUCAUAGAAGGGACAAUCUGCCCCGGACUAAAGCCUCUGAUCACCAGACAGAGAUAAGAAAAGCUAAUCCUCCACAUUCAGAGAUGGCAGCAAACUUCACAGAAGCACAGAAGCCCCAAAAUACCAAGAAAAAUAAGAAGAAAGGGGCGACUUUAGACACAUUCUAUGGAGCCAAAAUACAAAAUACAGAGCAGAUAGAAGAAGAUAUACAAGAAAAUUCUCUAAAAUCUUCCAAAGGAAAUAGAAACUCUCCACAAACCCAUGAAGAAUUUGAAUCAGAAAUGACCAAAAAGAUGGAAGCCCUCUGGGAGGAAAAGUGGGAAAUAAUGCAAAAGAAAUGCAUGCAUCUACAAAACCAGUUUGACCAAACUGUAAAAGAAAACCAGGCUUUAAAGCAAGAACUAAUAAAGCAAAGCCAAAACACCAAGAAAUUAGAAGAGAACAUAAAAUAUCUCACCGACAAGGUGAUAGAUCUGGAAAAUAGAGGGAGAAGAGAAAAUUUAAGAAUAAUUGGACUCCCAGAAAAGCCAGAAAUAAACACCAAACUGGACAUGGUGAUACAAGAUAUAAUCAAAGAAAAUUGCCCAGAGAUUCUAGAACAAGAGGGCAAUACAGCCACUGACAGAGCUCACAGAACACCUUCUACACUAAACCCCCAAAAGACAACUCCCAGGAAUGUAAUUGCCAAAUUCCAAAGCUAUCAAACAAAAGAAAAAAUCCUACAGGAAGCCAGAAAAAGUCAAUUUAGAUAUAAAAGAAUGCCA
rnacentral:lncRNA from 1 species